rnacentral:rRNA from 1 species
GACGAACCGUGCAAACGUUAUUCGGAAUCACUGGGCGUAAAGGGUGCGUAGGUGGUCAGGUAAGUCUGAUGUGAAAUCUCUGGGCUCAACCCAGAAACUGCAUUGGAUACUAUCUGGCUAGAGGAGUGGAGGGGGGACUGGAAUACUUGGUGUAGCAGUGAAAUGCGUAGAUAUCAAGUGGAACACCAGUGGCGAAGGCGAGUCCCUGGACACUUCCUGACACUGAGGCACGAAAGCUAGGGGAGCAAACAGG